rnacentral:rRNA from 1 species
UGAGCGAAAGCUUGAUGGAGCGACACAGCGUGCACGAUGAAGGUCUUCGGAUUGUAAAGUGCUGUUAUAAGGGAAGAACAUUUGCAAUAGGAAAUGAUUGCAGACUGACGGUACCUUGUCAGAAAGCGAUGGCUAACUAUGUGCCAGCAGCCGCGGUAAUACAUAGGUCGCAAGCGUUAUCCGGAAUUAUUGGGCGUAAAGCGUUCGUAGGCUGUUUGUUAAGUCUGGAGUUAAAUCCCGGGGCUCAACCCCGGCUCGCUUUGGAUACUAGCAAACUAGAGUUAGAUAGAGGUAAGCGGAAUUCCAUGUGAAGCGGUGAAAUGCGUAGAUAUAUGGAAGAACACCAAAGGCGAAGGCAGCUUACUGGGUCUAUACUGACGCUGAGGGACGAAAGCGUGGGGAGCAAACAGGAUUAGAUACCCUGGUAGUCCACGCCGUAAACGAUGAUCAUUAGUCGGUGGAGAAUCACUGACGCAGCUAACGCAUUAAAUGAUCCGCCUGAGUAGUAUGCUCGCAAGAGUGAAACUUAAAGGAAUUGACGGGGACCCGCACAAGCGGUGGAGCAUGUGGUUUAAUUUGAAGAUACACGGAAAACCUUACCCACUCUUGACAUCCUUCGCAAAGCUAUAGAGAUAUAGUGGAGGUUAUCGGAGUGACAGAUGGUGCAUGGUUGUCGUCAGCUCGUGUCGUGAGAUGUUUGGUCAAGUCCUGCAACGAGCGCAACCCCUAUCUUUAGUUACUAACAUUAAGUUGAGGACUCUAGAGAUACUGCCUGGGUAACUGGGAGGAAGGUGGGGAUGACGUCAAAUCAUCAUGCCUCUUACGAGUGGGGCCACACACGUGCUACAAUGGUCGGUACAAAGAGAAGCAAUAUGGCGACAUGGAGCAAAUCUCAAAAAG